rnacentral:lncRNA from 1 species
GUAAUUAAGUGGAUCACCUUUCUCGGGACAAGGAAUAAAAAUUAACCAUGUCCCCUGACAAGAAAAUGGUGUUUAAGGGCCGAAAAUUCUAUUCUGCAUGAAUGUACUGCUAUCAUCGUUUAGGAUGACGAUUGCACUACCGGAAGUCAGAGCUGAUUGCGGACGAAUGAUGGUACAAGGUUAUCAUUCGUGUGAAAUCAAACAUAACAACAACAUAAUUCCAUACAAGGGCCCAUCAAAGCAGGUUUUCCCGGAUCUACAUCUCGGGCUGAUAACUUACAGAUGCGACCACGAAGCCGGCUACUUCAUUUCGAGAAUGGAGUGUGAGAAAUGCAACUUCACAUGCAGAGCGGAAGAAUCGUCAACUGAAGUGAUAACGUGCCCGGUGGAUCCUACCCAAUUUUGGUCGGGGCUUUUCCUGGGAAUCCUAACCGGGGCGGUGCUGUGUGCUCUCGGUUUGAAAAAAGCCCGACAGGCUGUAGCAUCGGUGGGCAAAAAUUCGGACGAGACCCGCGGAAACUCCGGCGCCACCGUUUACAAAGAGGAUAAGGUGCUUUUGCAAGCCGACGAGGGUGACCGCAGCGAGACACGGUCCUCGGGCUCGGCCGAGAAUAGCGGCACUAUUCGGUCACCGAAAACCAAGAGAAAGAGGACUCUAAUGUCGGCGAUCGCCGGUCUUCUAAUGUUCGGACCUACCAACGCUUGCGACGUGGUCAUCACCGUGGAUUCGGGCGACGUAACGAUGGUCUGCCAUGACUUGGUCUGCGCGCCGCAGACAUCAUUCCCGGUUCGGCCGAAUCAAGAGAUCUGUAUCGAAAACCACCAAGGAGUGCGAGUAUCUAUCAAAGUCAUAGGUAUCUUCUCCACAGUGCGCUACGAUCUCGCCUACUACACGGCAGAUUACACGGUCACCGCGCGAUCAGUGAGCAAUUGCUGCACCGACUCUGACGAAACCAACUGCUGGGACCAGAACGGGAACUGCCACCGGAGGGCCAGGGAGAAGCUCGAGACGCAGGCGGGCAACGCGUCCAUCAACUUCCAGUGCUUGUGGUCCAACCAUAACAAACUGUACGCCAACUGCGCUUACUUCGCGAAAACGGAGAAAGAAGGGGACUUGUUCCCGGUGCUGCAAAGAAGUUUCGAGAGCAGAGAAGUUAGACUUCACGUGGGCGGAGGACCGUAUGCAAAGGAGCGCACGCUGGUAUUGAACGACUUCACUCCGACACGCGAUCUCGACUUGUCCAAAUUCGGUUUCGAGACAAUCCCCAUCUCGGUAGUUGGCUCUUUCUUGCAAUCGUCUCCUUUCCGAUCUUUAAUACAAUACAAUGGUACGUUUUACUACGUCGAUAGCUCGGAGCCAGGCGCCCCGACGAGCAGUAUGCUUGGCGAUUUCCAAGUGACUCUGAAGGAUAACACCACGGCGUCCGCUGAGCCCGUCAUAACGUGCGAAGCUCCGUCCGGCAGCUGUAACUGCAAGUGCUCUUAUUCUCAAAACAGUAGCAUUAAAGCAUUUCAAAGUCGGCUGGAGGACUACGAACCGCUUCAACGGUACAUUACGGUGAGUACCAGUCCAUGGGUGAUGUACGACUAUGAGAAGGAAGAGAAAGGCGAGGUGCUUCUUCAGUUGGGGAAGAGGGUGAGUGAUCCAGGACAGAAAAGAGGGAAGUGCGACGUUGGAUUGUUAGGCAUUCACGGCUGCAUUUCUUGCGAAAAUCCGGCGUCGAUAGUCUUCCAAGCAAAUCAAAGCACAAUCGAACGAUCAGGGGUCGUGCCUUUUCUUUCCAACAUCGGAAGAGCGUCGAGUCAAGUUUAUUUCUAAUUGAUUCAGGUACGAACACUGAAAAAACACUACGGCCGAGGAAGCCGUACUUUCGGGCUGUAUAUAGACAAAUUGUCUGCGUUCAGGGUUCAGACGUGGAAAGUUCCGGAUGUAGCGCCCGGAGCAGUCAAAACUGCGGCUUCAGAACCCGAAAAUUUCUGCAUUUUAGCCGGAACAAACGGUAUUUUUAUAAAUCCCGUGACUUUUUAUCAGUGAAGGAAAACUAAAAUCCACUAAAUGCAGUAUCCUACCAUCACCAAUUGAUGGGAUUGAUUGGAUGCGUUGAACUCGUCACUUUUCAGGGCCACUAAAAUAGAUAGUUUCGCACUACUAUCAUUUGAUUGACGUUUAUGCACAUUAAUGGGUGUACGAAUCUCCCACAGUCAAAGAUUCAUUCACCAAUUAAUUUUCUCCUUUCUUAAACGUGACGGAAAUCGAACUCGAAAAUUCAAAAUCAAUUCCAAAAUCUUGUAAUGACUUCGGAUUAAAUUAUUCAGCCUAGACCGGAUUCCGCGUGGUUAGUAUUGACCUUCUUAUCUGCCGAGUAUAUCAAAGCGUUAACAUUUGCGAUUUCCCCAGCACUGAUACACCGCUAGAAAGCUUUAAAACGUCUAUUGUAAGGAUCUUUGUCAGUUAUGUCAAAAUGCCCAUUGUUUUUCCAAGUUUUGAGCUGAAAGACAUUACUCUUCAGCCAACCUUUGUCGCUAUACGUGUACAUAAAAUGUAGGCUCUGAUUAAUUUCCUUUGAGUAGUAUUAUUAUUUUAUGGGGAGGGUAAUGGUGUAAUAUGAUUAUUAUGAUGUUGUUUCUUCGAUGAUUUUUUUUAUCAUAUAAACUGAUUCAGCAAUUUUAAUGAAUUUAUAGGAAUAUAAUUCAUUUCCAGAAUUCACUAGACGUAGGUUUAACUAUAUAUGUCAAUGAAUGGAUUAAUUUAAGCGUCUUCAUAAGUCCUAACAUCAAAGGCUGGGUGCCAAAAGCGGAAGAUAGGACGGAAAAUAGGUAUUAAGUAAGUAAAAUUUCCUUUACAAGUUUCAUUCUUUACACUUGUUUAAUAAAUCUUGAUGAAUAAUUGCACCUUGAGUAUGAUGAUUUCAUGAGACAACAUACACCCUUCCACCUAUAGAAUGU